CAGUAGCCGCGGUAAAACGAGGGGGGCAAGCGUUGUUCGGAAUUAUUGGGCGUAAAGGGUGCGUAGGCGGUUUGGCAAGUUUGGUGUGAAAUCUUCGGGCUCAACUCGAAGUCUGCAUCGAAAACUGCCGGGCUUGAGUAUGGGAGAGGUGAGUGGAAUUUCCGGUGUAGCGGUGAAAUGCGUAGAUAUCGGAAGGAACACCUGUGGCGAAAGCGGCUCACUGGACCAUAACUGACGCUGAUGCACGAAAGCUAGGGGAGCAAACAGGAUUAGAUACCCCAGUAGUCCCUGUCUCUUAUAU
rnacentral:rRNA from 1 species